GUGCUCGCUUAGGCAGCACAUAUACUAAAAUUGGAAUGAUACAGAGAAUAUUAGCAUGGCCCCUGUGCAAGGAUGACAUGCAAAUUCCUGAAGUGUUCCAUAUUUUU
rnacentral:snRNA from 1 species